GUGCCAGCCGCCGCGGUAAUACGGGGGGUGCAAGCGUUGUUCGGAAUCAUUGGGCGUAAAGCGCGCGCAGGCGGCUUGGUAAGUCAGAUGUGAAAUCCCUGGGCUUAACCCAGGAAGUGCAUUUGAUACUGCCUCGCUAGAGUACGGGAGAGGAAAGUGGAAUUCCUGGUGUAGAGGUGAAAUUCGUAGAUAUCAGGAGGAACACCGGUGGCGAAGGCGACUUUCUGGCCCGAUACUGACGCUCAGGCGCGAAAGCGUGGGGAGCAAACAGGAUUAGAUACCCUUGUAGUCC
rnacentral:rRNA from 1 species